GUCCCCGUAGUUCAACAGGAUAGAACGAGUCCCUCCUAAGGACUAAAUGGGGGUUCGAGUCCUCCCGGGGACACC
rnacentral:tRNA from 1 species